UACGUAGGGUGCAAGCGUUGUCCGGAAUUAUUGGGCGUAAAGAGCUCGUAGGCGGUCUGUCGCGUCGGAUGUGAAAACCCAGGGCUCAACCCUGGGCCUGCAUUCGAUACGGGCAGACUAGAGUUCGGUAGGGGAGACUGGAAUUCCUGGUGUAGCGGUGAAAUGCGCAGAUAUCAGGAGGAACACCGGUGGCGAAGGCGGGUCUCUGGGCCUGUACUGACGCUGAGGAACGAAAGCGUGGGGAGCGAACAGG
rnacentral:rRNA from 1 species